rnacentral:rRNA from 1 species
GAUGAACGCUGGCGGCGUGCCUAAUACAUGCAAGUCGAGCGAACAGACGAGGAGCUUGCUCCUCUGACGUUAGCGGCGGACGGGUGAGUAACACGUGGAUAACCUACCUAUAAGACUGGGAUAACUUCGGGAAACCGGAGCUAAUACCGGAUAAUAUAUUGAACCGCAUGGUUCAAUAGUGAAAGACGGUUUUGCUGUCACUUAUAGAUGGAUCCGCGCCGCAUUAGCUAGUUGGUAAGGUAACGGCUUACCAAGGCAACGAUGCGUAGCCGACCUGAGAGGGUGAUCGGCCACACUGGAACUGAGACACGGUCCAGACUCCUACGGGAGGCAGCAGUAGGGAAUCUUCCGCAAUGGGCGAAAGCCUGACGGAGCAACGCCGCGUGAGUGAUGAAGGUCUUCGGAUCGUAAAACUCUGUUAUUAGGGAAGAACAAAUGUGUAAGUAACUAUGGACGUCUUGACGGUACCUAAUCAGAAAGCAACGGCUAACUACGUG